UUUAUUCUGUCUCAUGUCUCUGGGCUCAGUCAGGCCACAGGACUUCAUCUACAUCACAGACAAUAUUCUCCCUACCUAGACAAUGCAAAAAAAAUCCUUUUGCAUGCAGAAUCCAAGCUUGAAAAGAAUCCACUCUAAUGUCAUCACAUGCUGCAUCCAUUGACUGGAGUAGAUUUUCCUGGGUAUGCUGAGAAAAAUUCCUCAAAUGGGUUUAGAAAGAGAGAGUAUGCUGGAAGGCUUAGAUUUAUGAAAUGGAGGUUAUUGAUAAACCCUCACAUAUGUUUUGACAACGGUGAAAGCUCACAUUGUCCCAAACGACAAUGUACACAGGAUGCUUUCCCCACUCAAGUCCAAGCAAAGCAUCUUGUAGACCAUCCAGAAAUGUUAGAUGUUCUGUGUUGUAGGGCUCUAAUGUAACAUGGUGAUGCAGAACCCCAUUGCUGUUGAUGGCCGCACAUACAUUUUCAGCAAUAAGCAGACACUUUUAUCCAAAGCAACUUACAGUAUACAGUCUAAGCAACUGAGGGUUAAGGGACUUGCUCAAACAGUGGCAACCUGGCAGUGGUGGGGUUUGAACCUGCAACCUUCUGCUUACUAGUCCAGUACCUUAACCGCUAGGCUACAUGGUCACAUUGCCACCACGAUGGACAUGCAUUUCUAUAAUUGCAUGUUGACCAGUUAUGUUGAGCCCUCUUCUCCACCUCUUUGUGAGACUAAAUCCAGCUUUGUCCAAAUAUAAACAUUCAUGGGGCCUCUCCGGGGGUUUAGUUUACAGUUUUUCUCAAUUGCUAAAACACAAUUUCUGAAACCUUGCUCCAUUUUCUUAAAACAUUAAACACAAAACCUCAUCUUCAAGCAGCAUUUACAAAACCUCUGACUCCUCUUGCAAAAUCAAACUUUCGCUUCAAAACAGAUUUACCUGUGCUCAAAACCAAACACUGCUCUCAAAUCAUAAACAAAGCCAUCAAAAUGAUAUACACUAUCAAGCAGUCAGUAAACAAUACACCAAAAAAUAGAAAACACACUGUUCAAAACAUAUAGUUCUUAGGGAGAAGUAAAUUUUUAAUCUCAAAACAAAUUUCAUAUUUUUCCGUCAUUGUCUUUUGAUGAACAAAAACAUGUUCUAUCAUAGUAGCUCAACUGCAAUUCUUGUUCUUUGUUGAUAUGAACCUGCAACUACGGUGGCCGAGAAGUGCAAAACAAAUUAACAUUUAAAAAAACAAACUUACAAAAGUAAAAACAAAAUUACAAAGGUAAAAAAAAAAUACAUUUUAGAAAACAAAAUUACCAGUGCUGAAACAAAUUUACCAAUGCCGAAACAAAUUUACAAAUGGCAGAUCUGACGGAAAGGGUAGGAACAAUACACAGGAAGUGCUUGUUGUUUACCUGCUGUCAAUCAAACUGUUUGGCGGGGAUAAAGUGAACAGAGUUGUGUCGGCAGUUGUGACUGUGAAUGCUUAGCGAUGUUUUGUCCAUUUUGUGGCAAUCAUUUUAGCCAAUUAGUCCGCUUUUGUUUUUCUUGCGGUAAAUCGUUAGAAUUUUUAGAAGAGCAGACGAAAGAAGAUGUAAUAAAUUUGUGUAUAGGAUAUUUCAAUAAAGGCCACUCCUACGAUGUUAUCGUUGACAUGAUGUCCUCUUUACAUGGUGUAAACAUUAGUUUGCGAUCUCUUAAAACUAAACUUAAACAGGCUGGACUGUACCGUAGAAAGGGCUAUUCUUCUACACACGCUGUCAGGAAUGCUAUAGGGUUGGAGCUUCGUGGACCUGGACAGCUCUUUGGCUAUUGAACAAUGUGGCAAGUACUCAUGCAAAAGUACAAUCUACGAGUAAAGAGGGAUGAUGUUAUGGUGUUACUCCAGGAGCUUAAUCCUCGAGGAUGUGAGAUGAGAGCAUGCAGAAGGUUUAUUAGAAGAACCUACCACUCAAUGGGGCCGAAUUACAUGUGGCACGCUGACGGUUACGACAAACUCAAGCCAUUCAGUUUGGCCCUUUUGGGAUGCAUAGACGAAUUUUCGCGGAAAGUACUGUGGCUUGUAUGUGGACCAACAAAUAACAAUCCCUCAGUUAUUGCUCACAAUUUCCUCACUUGUGUGCGAAACCUUGGUGCUUUCCCCAUGAGAUUGAGGACCGAUUGCGGCACGGAGAACGGCAUUAUGGCUGCAGUUCAGUGUACCCUACGGCACCAGCACACUGACUACUACUCGGGAGCGUCUAGCCAUAAGUAUGGUUCAUCCACCAACAAUCAAUGCAUUGAGUCAUGGUGGUCCACAUUCAGAAAGGGAAGGUCUCAGUUCUGGAUGGAGUUAUUUGCAGACCUCCGAGAUGCAGGAUACUUCAAUGGAAGUCAUGAACACCAAUGCUUGCUGAGAUUUUGCUUCAGUGAUGUCAUACAGAAGGACCUGGAUGAAUGUGUGACACUGUGGAACAGUCACAGGAUUCGCACUUCUAGAACUGCAUCAUGUCCUGGAGGAGUGCCCAAUGAACUGUACUACUUACCACACAGAUAAUUGAUUGGUUUGGCUCCAGAGACUGUGGAUUUAGAAUUGAACAAACAGAACUGGAUGUUUUCCCUGAAUCAAGACAGUCAGUCAAUUCAUGACCAAAACAUCCAGGAGUACUUGGACUUUGUUAUGGAGUGCAGUCAACUACAGAAGCCAAAUAACUGGGAGUCCGCAUCAGAACUAUACUUAUGGCUUAAAGAAAUUGCUCAGCUAUGAUUGUUUUAAUUACAUAAAUUACUUUGAUUAAUUAUUAUAAAGUACAUUUUUAAAUUAACUUUUGCUGUCCAUGAUUUAAGUUUUACUGGAAAAGCUCCCACAUCUGACCUCAAUU